rnacentral:rRNA from 1 species
AUCCAAUGGGCGCAAGCCUGAUCCAGCCAUGCCGCGUGUGUGAAGAAGGCCUUCGGGUUGUAAAGCACUUUUGUCCGGAAAGAAAAGCUUCGGGUUAAUACCCCGAGGUCAUGACGGUACCGGCCAAAAAAGCCCCGGCUAACUUCUUGUCC